rnacentral:rRNA from 1 species
GGACUACAAGGGUAUCUAAUCCUGUUCGCUCCCCACGCUUUCGCGUCUUAGCGUCAGUCGCUGUCCAGGUGGCCGCCUUCGCCACCGGUGUUCUACCCAAUAUCUACGAAUUUCACCUCUACACUGGGCAUUCCGCCACCCUCUCCAGGACUCAAGCCUACCAGUUUCGACUGCACUUCCAUGGUUGAGCCAUGGGCUUUCACAGUCGACUUAGCAGACCGCCUACACGCGCUUUACGCCCAAUAAUUCCGAGCAACGUUUGCACCCUCUGUAUUACCGCGGCUGCUGGCAC